rnacentral:rRNA from 1 species
UACGUAGGGUGCGAGCGUUGUCCGGAAUUAUUGGGCGUAAAGAGCUCGUAGGCGGCUUGUCACGUCGGAUGUGAAAGCCCGGGCUUAACCCGGGUCUGCAUUCGAUACGGGCAGGCUAGAGUGUGGUAGGGGAGAUCGGAAUCCUGGUGUAGCGGUGAAAUGCGCAGAUAUCAGGAGGAACACCGGUGGUGUAAACGCUUCUGGACCAUAACUGACGCUGAGGCACGAAAGCGUGGGUAGCAAACAGG